rnacentral:lncRNA from 1 species
UGUUGUUGGUUUUUAAGACUAAAUGCUACAAGCUGCAUCACUUUUCACCUAUGGUGGAAUUAGCCGAUCUUAACUUUGCGAGAGAUGAAUUGGCCUAUCAAUCUUUGCAUGAAAAUGAUAGGAUCUUCAAGAAACUCGACUUUGAAAUUUCAACCUAUUAGGAGGAAGAAACUGAAUCUUAUCUUGUAGAACUCUCAAAAUCUAUAGAUCAAGGCAAUAAAAAAGAGAUAUCACAUGUCAAGGUGAGAACAGAUCAGACUGAACAAGCAAUCAACAAUGCUUCAACCAAUAUUAAGCUGAUAUUUGGGCCCA